GGCCUGGUUGGGCGGUUUAGUCGCAAGAUUAGUACUGCUUUGAUCGGGCCUUUCCUUCUAGGGAACUAGUGUGCGCUUUAUUGAGUGCGCUAGGGAUCUAGGACUGUUACUUUGAAAAAAUUAGAGUGUUUAAAACAGGCUUAUGCUUGAAUACAUUAGCAUGGAAUAACGGAAUAGGACUUUGUUUCUAUUUUGUUGGUUUUCAGGAACGAAGUA
rnacentral:rRNA from 1 species